rnacentral:rRNA from 1 species
GAUGAACGCUAGCGGCAGGCUUAGCACAUGCAAGUCGAGGGGUAGAAGCAGCUUGCUGCUUUGAGACCGGCGCACGGGUGCGUAACGCGUAUACAAUCUACCUUUUACAGAGGGAUAGCCCAGAGAAAUUUGGAUUAAUACCUCAUAGUAUUUUCGAAUCGCAUGAUUUGAUUAUUAAAGUUCCAACGGUAAAAGAUGAGUAUGCGUCCCAUUAGCUAGAUGGUAAGGUAACGGCUUACCAUGGCAACGAUGGGUAGGGGUCCUGAGAGGGAGAUCCCCCACACUGGUACUGAGACACGGACCAGACUCCUACGGGAGGCAGCAGUGAGGAAUAUUGGACAAUGGGCGCAAGCCUGAUCCAGCCAUGCCGCGUGCAGGAAGACGGUCCUAUGGAUUGUAAAACUGCUUUUAUACAGGAAGAAACACCUCUACGUGUAGAGACUUGACGGUACUGUAUGAAUAAGCAUCGGCUAAACUCCGUGCCAG